GACGAACGCUGGCGGCGUGCUUAACACAUGCAAGUCGAACGGAAAGGCCCUGCUUUCGUGGGGUGCUCGAGUGGCGAACGGGUGAGUAACACGUGAGUAACCUGCCCUUGACUUUGGGAUAACUUCAGGAAACUGGGGCUAAUCCAGGAUAGGAGCUCCUGCUGCAUGGUGGGGGUUGGAAAGUUUCGGCGGUUGGGGAUGGACUGGCGGCUUAUCAGCUUGUUGGUGGGGUAGUGGCAUACCAAGGCUUUGACGGGUAGCCGGCCUGAGAGGGUGACCGGGCACAAUGGGACUGAGAUACGGCCCAGACGCCUACGGGAGGCAGCGGUGGGGAAUAUUGCACAAUGGUCGGGAGCCUGAUGCAACAACGCCGCGUGCGGGAUGACGGCCUUCGGGUUGUGAACCGCUUUCGCCUGUGACGAAGCGGGAGUGACGGUAAUGGGUAAAGAAGCACCGGCUAACUACGUG
rnacentral:rRNA from 1 species